GACAGAGGCCUCGAGCGUUAGGCGGAAUCACUGGGCUUAAAGCGUGUGUAGGCGGGCCCGUAAGUGUCUUGUGAAAUCCCACGGCUCAACCGUGGAACUGCUGGGCAUACUGCGGGUCUUGGGCCAACUAGGGGCAGCCGGAACAAGCGGUGGAGCGGUGAAAUGCGUAGAUAUCGCUUGGAACGCCGAAGGUGAAAACAGGUAGCUGGGAGUGUGCUGACACUGAGACACGAAAGCCAGGGGAGCGAACGGG
rnacentral:rRNA from 1 species